UUGGAGGGCAAGUCUGGUGCCAGCUCGCCGCGGUAAUUCCAGCUCCAAUAGCGUAUAUUAAAGUUGUUGCAGUUAAAAAGCUCGUAGUUGAAUUUCGGGAUCAAUAUGCCGGUCAUGCCUUGGUAUGCACUGGUAUCUUUGAUUUCUCCCUUCUGACGAACUUUGAUGUCAUUAAUUUGGUGUCAUAGGGAAUCAGGACUGUUACUUUGAAAAAAUUAGAGUGUUUAAAGCAAGCUCACGCUUGAAUACAUUAGCAUGGAAUAAUGAAAUAGGACGUUUGAUUCUAUUUUGUUGGUUUCUAGGAUCGACGUAAUGAUUAAUAGGGAUAGUUGGGGGCAUAAGUAUUCAAUUGUCAGAGGUGAAAUUCUUGGAUUUAUUGAAGACUAACUACUGCGAAAGCAUUUGCCAAGGAUGCUUUCAUUAAUCAAGAACGAAAGUUAGGGGAUCGAAGACGAUCAGAUACCGUCGUAGUCUUAACCAUAAAUUAUGCUGACUAGGGAUCGGAUGAUGUUAAUUUUUUAAUGACUCAUUCGGCGCCUUACGGGAAACCAAAGUGUUUGGGUUC
rnacentral:rRNA from 1 species